GACGAACGCUGGCGGCGUGCUUAACACAUGCAAGUCGAACGAUGAAGCCGGAGCUUGCUCUGGUGAAUUAGUGGCGAACGGGUGAGUAACACGUGAGUAACCUGCCCUUGACUCUGGGAUAACUGCUAGAAAUGGUAGCUAAUACCGGAUACGACCCUCGGCGGCAUCGCCAGGGGGUGGAAAGAAUUUCGGUCAAGGAUGGACUCGCGGCCUAUCAGCUAGUUGGUGAGGUAACGGCUCACCAAGGCGACGACGGGUAGCCGGCCUGAGAGGGUAAGCGGCCACACUGGGACUGAGACACGGCCCAGACUCCUACGGGAGGCAGCAGUGGGGAAUAUUGCACAAUGGGCGCAAGCCUGAUGCAGCAACGCCGCGUGAGGGAUGACGGCCUUCGGGUUGUAAACCUCUUUUAGUAGGGAAGAAGCGAAAGUGACGGUACCUGCAGAAAAAGCACCGGCUAACUACGUGCCAGCCGCCGCAGUAA
rnacentral:rRNA from 1 species